GUCUGGGGCCACACCACCCCGCACGCGCCCGAUCUCGUCUGACCCACAGGCUAAGCAAGCUCAGGCCCGGUCAGCACUCGGAUGGGAGAUCACGGGUGUGCGGUGAGCUACAAAUU
rnacentral:rRNA from 1 species